GACGAACGCUGGCGGCGUGCUUAACACAUGCAAGUCGAACGGAAAGGCCCUGCUUUUGUGGGGUGCUCGAGUGGCGAACGGGUGAGUAACACGUGAGUAACCUGCCCUUGACUUUGGGAUAACUUCAGGAAACUGGGGCUAAUACCGGAUAGGAGCUCCUGCUGCAUGGUGGGGGUUGGAAAGUUUCGGCGGUUGGGGAUGGACUCGCGGCUUAUCAGCUUGUUGGUGGGGUAGUGGCUUACCAAGGCUUUGACGGGUAGCCGGCCUGAGAGGGUGACCGGCCACAUUGGGACUAAGAUACGGCCCAGACUCCUACGGGAGGCAGCAGUGGGGAAUAUUACACAAUAGGCGGAAGUGUGAUGCAGCAACGCCGCGUGCGUGAUGACGGCCUUCGGGUUAUAAACCGCUUUCGCCUGUGACGAAGAGUGAGUGACGGUAAUGGGUAAAGAAGCACCGGCUAACUACGUG
rnacentral:rRNA from 1 species